CUUUUGGUUGUAAAGCACUUUAAGCGAGGAGGAGGCUACUUGGAUUAAUACUCUAGGAUAGUGGACGUUACUCGCAGAAUAAGCACCGGCUAACUCUGUGCCAGCAGCCGCGGUAAUACAGAGGGUGCGAGCGUUAAUCGGAUUUACUGGGCGUAAAGCGUGCGUAGGCGGCUUUUUAAGUCGGAUGUGAAAUCCCUGAGCUUAACUUAGGAAUUGCAUUCGAUACUGGGAAGCUAGAGUAUGGGAGAGGAUGGUAGAAUUCCAGGUGUAGCGGUGAAAUGCGUAGAGAUCUGGAGGAAUACCGAUGGCGAAGGCAGCCAUCUGGCCUAAUACUGACGCUGAGGUACGAAAGCAUGGGGAGCAAACAGGAUUAGAUACCCUGGUAGUCCAUGCCGUAAACGAUGUCUACUAGCCGUUGGGGCCUUUGAGGCUUUAGUGGCGCAGCUAACGCGAUAAGUAGACCGCCUGGGGAGUACGGUCGCAAGACUAAAACU
rnacentral:rRNA from 1 species